rnacentral:rRNA from 1 species
CCUACGGGUGGCUGCAGUGAGGAAUAUUGGUCAAUGGGCGGAAGCCUGAACCAGCCAAGUCGCGUGAGGGAUUAAGGCCCUGCGGGUCGUAAACCUCUUUUGCCGGGGAGCAGUGGUCCGGACGCGUCCGGACCGGGAGAGUACCCGGAGGAAAAGCAUCGGCUAACUCCGUGCCAGCAGCCGCGGUAAUACGGAGGGUGCGAGCGUUAAUCGGAAUUACUGGGCGUAAAGCGCUCGUAGGCGGUAUGUCAAGUCAAGGGUGAAAUCCCCGCGCUCAACGUGGGAACUGCCUUUGAAACUGGCAAACUGGAGUGUGUGAGAGGAUAGUGGAAUUCCAGGUGUAGGAGUGAAAUCCGUAGAUAUCUGGAGGAACAUCAGUGGCGAAGGCGACUAUCUGGCACAUAACUGACGCUGAGGAGCGAAAGCGUGGGUAGCAAACAGGAUUAGAUACCCCAGUAGUC